GACGAACGCUGGCGGCGUGCCUAAUACAUGCAAGUUGAGCGCUGAAGGUUGGUACUUGUACCAACUGGAUGAGCAGCGAACGGGUGAGUAACGCGUGGGGAAUCUGCCUUUGAGCGGGGGACAACAUUUGGAAACGAAUGCUAAUACCGCAUAAAAACUUUAAACACAAGUUUUAAGUUUGAAAGAUGCAAUUGCAUCACUCAAAGAUGAUCCCGCGUUGUAUUAGCUAGUUGGUGAGGUAAAGGCUCACCAAGGCGAUGAUACAUAGCCGACCUGAGAGGGUGAUCGGCCACAUUGGGACUGAGACACGGCCCAAACUCCUACGGGAGGCAGCAGUAGGGAAUCUUCGGCAAUGGACGAAAGUCUGACCGAGCAACGCCGCGUGAGUGAAGAAGGUUUUCGGACCGUAAAACUCUGUUGGUAGAGAAGAACGUUGGUGAGAGUGGAAAGCUCAUCAAGUGACGGUAACUACCCAGAAAGGGACGGCUAACUACGUG
rnacentral:rRNA from 1 species